UACGAAGGUCCCAAGCGUUAUCCGGAUUUAUUGGGUUUAAAGGGUGCGUAGGCGGACUGUUAAGUCAGUGGUGAAAGCUCCAUGCCUAACAUGGAAAUUGCCAUUGAUACUGACGGUCUUGAGUACAUUUGAAGUGGGCGGAAUGUGUCAUGUAGCGGUGAAAUGCUUAGAUAUGACACAGAACACCGAUUGCGUAGGCAGCUCACUAAACUAUAACUGACGCUGAGGCACGAAAGCAUGGGGGAUCAAACAGG
rnacentral:rRNA from 1 species